ACGGAAGGCAGCAGUGGGGAAUAUUGGGCAAUGGGCGAAAGCCUGACCCAGCGACGCCGCGUGAAGGAAGACGGUCCUCGGAUUGUAAACUUCUUUUAUGUGGGACGAAACAAAUGACGGUACCACAUGAAUAAGCCACGGCUAACUACGUGCCAGCAGCCGCGGUAAUACGUAGGUGGCGAGCGUUAUCCGGAUUUACUGGGUGUAAAGGGUGUGUAGGCGGGACUGCAAGUCAGAAGUGAAAAUUAUGGGCUUAACUCAUAACUUGCUUUUGAAACUGUGGUUCUUGAGGGUCGGAGAGGUAACUGGAAUUCCUGGUGUAGCGGUGAAAUGCGUAGAUAUCAGGAGGAACACCGGUGGCGAAGGCGGGUUACUGGACGAUUACUGACGCUGAGACACGAAAGCGUGGGGAGCAAACAGGAUUAGAUACCCUGGUA
rnacentral:rRNA from 1 species